rnacentral:rRNA from 1 species
CGUAGGGUGCAAGCGUUAAUCGGAAUUACUGGGCGUAAAGCGUGCGCAGGCGGCUUUGCAAGACAGAUGUGAAAUCCCCGGGCUCAACCUGGGAACUGCAUUUGUGACUGCAUGGCUGGAGUGCGGCAGAGGGGGAUGGAAUUCCGCGUGUAGCAGUGAAAUGCGUAGAUAUGCGGAGGAACACCGAUGGCGAAGGCAAUCCCCUGGGCCUGCACUGACGCUCAUGCACGAAAGCGUGGGGAGCAAACAGGAUUAGAUACCCUGGUAGUCCACGCCCUAAACGAUGUCAACUGGUUGUUGGACGGCUUGCUGUUCAGUAACGAAGCUAACGCGUGAAGUUGACCGCCUGGGGAGUACGGCCGCAAGGUUA